rnacentral:sRNA from 1 species
ACCUGCGAGGUUUUUGAAACCUCGCAGGUCUCACCUGUCAGAAUCAUUGAGGUAUGGUACUAACAGGAGGCUUGUUUAAGCAGAAGUUGGGAAGGUUAUCACACCUGCGGAUGUUAUCCCAGUCCGCAGCUCUGUGGUCUGAUUUUAAGGGUAGCGGAAACGUGAAAGUGAGUCAGGUGUAAAAAGUUUUCUUAACAACUCCGAGGAAUAACUUACUCCGGACAGAGGA